GGAGGAUGAUUGAAAAGGACAAGGUUAAAGGGAGAACCAUUGUCAUUUUUGUUUAGGAGAAAAGUGACUGGGAGAACAUUAGCGGAAUGGUUAAUAGAAAAGAACCAGCCGAAGGUGUUCCAUGCAUUGUAAUGUACUUGUAGGCACCAGGAUCUAUUACAACAUGGGACGAACUCGUAGGAAAAUUCUUACAAAAGUUCUCUCCUAUUAGAAAAACUGUCCAAUUGAAGAGAGACUUUGAAACAUUCAAACAAUUUGAAGGAGAAAGUUUUCAUGAAACUUAGGAAAGCUUUAAAAUGCUGAUCCAGAUAUGCCCACACCAUGGAUUACUUGAGUGGUUAAGACUGCAAAUGUUCUACAAUGGGUUGGAUGCACACGCGCAUUCAGGACUAGAUGGAGCCACAAGAGGAGCACUAAUAAACAUAACAUAUGAUAAUAUGUAUGAGUUGAUAGAAAAUAUGACAAUGAUGUAACAACCCAUUUUUCAGUGAAAUCAAAACAGUGGUUUCGGGACCACAAAUCUGACUCGAAAAUAAA